rnacentral:rRNA from 1 species
GAUGAACGCUGGCGGCGUGCCUAAUACAUGCAAGUCGAGCGAACAGACGAGGAGCUUGUUCCUUUGACGUUAGCGGCGGACGGGUGAGUAACACGUGGAUAACCUACCUAUAAGACUGGGAUAAUUUCGGGAAACCGGAGAUAAUACUGGAUAAUAUAUUGAACCGCAUGGUUCAAUAGUGAAAGACGGUUUUGCUGUCACUUAUAGAUGGAUCCGCGCCGCAUUAGCUAGUUGGUAAGGUAACGGCUUACCAAGGCAACGAUGCGUAGCCGACCUGAGAGGGUGAUCGGCCACACUGGAACUGAGACACGGUCCAGACUCCUACGGGAGGCAGCAGUAGGGAAUCUUCCGCAAUGGGCGAAAGCUUGACGGAGCAACGCCGCGUGAGUGAUGAAGGUCUUCGGAUCGUAAAACUCUGUUAUUGGGGAAGAACAAAUGUGUAAGUAACUAUGCACGUCUUGACGGUACCUAAUCAGAAAGCAACGGCUAACUACGUG